CCUAGUGAGUCAGCAAGAAAUAGCUAAACGAUUGGAAAGGAAAUAGUUGAAGUUUAGUUGUGGCGAAAUAGGAGAUUAAGUCUCAUACCGCAUGAAAAGAAUUGGCCUAUCACUAUAAAAUUCUACAGCUGAUCCUAAUACGACUACGGUUUUUGUGAUCUGCUACGGGAAAUAGUGGGCUUCUCGUUACUUGAAGUAACAAUGGUUAUUAAUUGGUUUAAGAGAAGAAGCUCUUGGCUUAUGCGGAAACACAAUCAAUUGUGUUUUUGCCGCAUUAGUGGAAAUUUUCCAUUUUUUCAGGUAAUCAUUGAAAAUAUUCAAGCUUCGUUGCAGUCGACUGCAGAUAAUACG